GAAAUGCGAUAAGUAGUGUGAAUUGCAGAAUUCAGUGAAUCAUCGAAUCUUUGAACGCACAUUGCGCCCCUUGGUAUUCCAUGGGGCAUGCCUGUUCGAGCGUCAUUUGUACCCUCAAGCUCUGCUUGGUGUUGGGUGUUUGUCCCCGUCUCCGCGCGUGGACUCGCCCCAAAGUGAUUGGCAGCCGGCGUACUGGUCCCGGAGCGCAGCACAUGUCGCGCAAACGAGUGCCUUGGUACGUCGACGUCCAUAAGCCCCUCUCUCACGCUCUUGACCUCGGAUCAGGUAGGGAUACCCGCUGAACUUAAGC
rnacentral:misc_RNA from 1 species